CAAGUCUUGACAUCCUCCUGGAUACAGGGUAAUGCCUGUAGGCCUUCGGGACAGGAGAGACAGGUGGUGCAUGGUUGUCGUCAGCUCGUGUCGUGAGAUGUUGGGUUAAGUCCCGCAACGAGCGCAACCCCUAUCUUUAGUAGCCAGCGAGCAGAGUCGGGCACUCUAGAGAGACUGCCGGGGAUAACCCGGAGGAAGGUGGGGAUGACGUCAAAUCAUCAUGCCCCUUAUGAUUUGGGCUACACACGUGCUACAAUGGCGUAAACAGAGGGAAGCGAACCUGCGAGGGGGAGCAAAUCCCAAAAAUAACGUCCCAGUUCGGAUUGUAGUCUGCAACCCGACUACAUGAAGCUGGAAUCGCUAGUAAUCGCGGAUCAGAAUGCCGCGGUGAAUACGUUCCC
rnacentral:rRNA from 1 species